rnacentral:lncRNA from 1 species
UCAGAGUUCUUCCUCAGUCUUGAGAUUUGGGAUUCCCGGUUUGUGUCAGUAGAAUUGCGAGAGUAAUAGAUACCUCCAAGGUGAUCUCCAAGUUCUUCCUCAGUCUUGAGGUUUGGGAUUCCCGGUUUUUGUCAGUAGAAUUGUGAGAGUAAUAGAUACCUCCAAGGUGAUCUCCAAGUUCUUCCUCAGUCUUGAGGUGUGGGAUUCCCGGUGUGUGUCAAUACCUCCAAGGUGAUCUCCAAGUUCUUCCUCAGUCUUGAGGUUUGGGAUUCCCGGUUUUUGUCAGUAGAAUUGAAUACAUACCUCCACGGUGAUUUCAGAGUUCUUCCUCAGUCCUGAGGUUUGGGAUUCCCGGUUUGUGUCAGUAGAAUUGCGAGAGUAAUAGAUACCUCCAAGGUGAUCUCCAAGUUCUUCCUCAGUCUUGAGGUUUGGGAUUCCCGGUUUUUGUCAGUAGAAUUGUGAGAGUAAUAGAUACCUCCAAGGUGAUCUCCAAGUUCUUCCUCAGUCUUGAGGUUUGGGAUUCCCGGUUUGUGUCAGCACAAUUGUGAGAGUAGAGGCCCACUUCAGAUCAACGAGUGGAUCCUGUCUCAACCUAAGCUCUAAGGUUGGCCCAGGAACCCUCUGGAAGAGGAGGUGGAAAAAGUGUAAGAGCCAAUUGGAACGGAAGACAGCAAGGAAACACGGCCUUCUAGACCCAAGAUGACCAAUGUACCUAUGAACUCACAGAG